rnacentral:rRNA from 1 species
UACAGAGGUCUCGAGCGUUAGGCGGAAUCACUGGGCUUAAAGCGUGUGUAGGCGGGUCGUUAAGUGCCUUGUGAAAUCCCAUGGCUCAACCAUGGAACUGCUGGGCAUACUGGCGAUCUUGUGCCACCUAAGGGCGAGCGGAACAGAUGGUGGAGCGGUGAAAUGCGUAGAUAUCAUCUGGAACGCCAAUGGUGAAAACAGCUCGCUGGGGGUGUGCAGACGCUGAGACACGAAAGCCAGGGGAGCGAACGGG